rnacentral:rRNA from 1 species
GAUUAGUGGCGAACGGGUGAGUAACACGUGAGUAACCUGCCCCUUACUUUCCUGGAUAACUGCUCGAAAGGGUAGCUAAUACGGGAUAUUCUGACCAGCCUGCAUGGGUUGGUUUGGAAAGGUUGUUUUUCUGGUGAGGGAUGGGCUCGCGGCCUAUCAGCUUGUUGGUGGGGUGAUGGCCUACCAAGGCUUUGACGGGUAGCCGGCCUGAGAGGGUGGACGGUCACACUGGGACUGAGAUACGGCCCAGACUCCUACGGGAGGCAGCAGUGGGGAAUAUUGCACAAUGGGCGCAAGCCUGAUGCAGCGACGCCGCGUGAGGGAUGAAGGCCUUCGGGUUGUAAACCUCUUUCGUCAGGGAACAAGGCACUGCUUUUUUGGUGGUGUUGAGGGUACCUGGAUAAGAAGCGCCGGCUAACUACGUGCCAGCAGCCGCGGUAAUACGUAGGGCGCAAGCGUUGUCCGGAAUUAUUGGGCGUAAAGAGCUCGUAGGCGGCUGGUCGCGUCUGUCGUGAAAACUUCCGGCUCAACCGGGGGCUUGCGGUGGGUACGGGCCGGCUAGAGUGCGGUAGGGGUAACUGGAACUCCUGGUGUAGCGGUGGAAUGCGCAGAUAUCAGGAAGAACACCGAUGGCGAAGGCAGGUUACUGGGCCGUUACUGACGCUGAGGAGCGAAAGCGUGGGGAGCGAACAGGAUUAGAUACCCUGGUAGUCCACGCCGUAAACGUUGGGCACUAGGUGUGAGGCUCCUUU